rnacentral:rRNA from 1 species
UACGAAGGUCCCAAGCGUUAUCCGGAUUUAUUGGGUUUAAAGGGUGCGUAGGCGGGCUAUUAAGUCAGUGGUGAAAGCCCCAGCUUAACUUGGGAACUGCCAUUGAUACUGAUGGUCUUGAGUACAUUUGAGGUGGGCGGAAUGUGUCAUGUAGCGGUGAAAUGCUUAGAUAUGACACAGAACACCGAUUGCGAAGGCAGCUCACUAAACUGUAAACUGACGCUGGAGGCAACGGAAAAGCGUGGGGGAGCAAACAGG